GUGGGGAAUCUUGCGCAAUGGCCGAAAGGCUGACGCAGCGACGCCGCGUGUGGGAGGAAGCUCUUCGGGGUGUAAACCACUGUUGCCCGGGACGAACAGCCUCUUUCGAGGGGCCUGACGGUACCGGGUGAGGAAGCACCGGCUAACUCUGUGCCAGCAGCCGCGGUAAUACAGAGGGUGCGAGCGUUGUCCGGAAUCACUGGGCGUAAAGGGCGCGUAGGUGGUGGCUUAGGCGUGCGGUGAAAGCUCGGAGCUCAACUCCGAGUCGGCCGUGCGAACUGGGCUCACUGGAGCAUAGUAGAGGCAGGUGGAAUUCCGGGUGUAGCGGUGGAAUGCGUAGAGAUCCGGAAGAACACCGGUGGCGAAGGCGGCCUGCUGGGCUAUGGCUGACACUGAGGCGCGACAGCGUGGGGAGCAAAC
rnacentral:rRNA from 1 species